CUACCUUAAUAGCCUACUAUUUAUUGCCUUAUUCUCUUACACGUCUUAUCUCUAAUCCUUUACCAGUGUUUCCUGGAAUCCCCUCCCAAGUAAAUGGCUGGCCCUUCCACCCUUUUCUCAUGCUCUACUUCUGGCGGAAUCCAAGAUAAGUCUACCUCUGUCAAGAUUUUAUCAACAGAAGGAGACGUUGUAGUAGUUCUCCCUGUAAUCCGAGACUUGGCUUGGAUGCUUCUGGUAUACAGCCUCUACUGUGAGACCACUCCUCUGUCUCGAAUGAACAAGAUAGUUUCACAGGACUAAGCUGCAUGAAGGACUUACUCCAGCUGCUUCUCCAAGCUCCUGAUGAGUUUAAGGAGCUCUGGCUAAGGUCUUUGCUGGGCCUCCAAAGACCGGAAGAGGAGACAGCUCGUGCGGGUGAGUUCUCGGCUGACGGCCGGGAGGACACCCUGGGCUGGCUUAUUACAGUGUGCUGGUUCCGAAGGAAUUUAGUGGCAACACUAAAGGAAGAUAAAAUUUUCCUAAAUACGUAG
rnacentral:lncRNA from 1 species